CCCCCAUAUCGGGUGGGACUAGACAUGCGAGUCGAGCGUCUCUAGCUAUGUUGAGACGCGGCAGACGGCUCAGUAACACGUGGCUAACCUACCCUCAGGACAGGGACAAACCCGGGAAACUGGGGCUAAUACCAGAUAGGUGAGGAUGCCUGGAAUGGUUUUUCGCUCAAAGGACCUUGGAAACAUGCUUUCAAGUCGCCUGAGGAUGGGGCCGCGUCCGAUCAGGUUGUUGGUGAGGUAACGGCUCACCAAGCCUAUAACCGGUACGGGCCGUGAGAGCGGUAGCCCGGAGAUGGGUACUGAGACAAGGACCCAGGCCCUACGGGGCGCAGCAGUCGCGAAAACUCCGCAAUGCACGAAAGUGUGACGGGGCUACCCCGAGUGCUCUCCGCUGAGGAAAGCUUUUCUCUGGUGUAACAAGCCAGGGGAAUAAGGAGAGGGCAAGACUGGUGUCAGCCGCCGCGGUAAUACCAGCUCUCCGAGUGGUAGGGAUGUUUAUUGGGCUUAAAGCGUCCGUAGCCGGCUUAGCAAGUUUCCUGUUAAAUUCAGCGACCUAAUCGUUGAGCCGCGGGAAAUACUACUAGGCUAGGAGGCGGGAGAGGUCAACGGUACUUCCGGGGUAGGGGUGAAAUCCUAUAAUCCCGGGAGGACCACCAGUGGCGAAGGCUGUUGACUAGAACGCGCUCGACGGUGAGGGACGAAAGCUGGGGGAGCGAACCGGAUUAGAUACCCGGGUAGUCCCAGCUGUAAACGAUGCGAGCUAGGUGUUGGGGUGGCUACGUGCCACUUCAGUGCCGCAGGGGAGCCAUUAACCUCGCCCGCUGGGGAGUACGGCCGGCAAGGUGAAACUCAAAUGAAUUGACGGG
rnacentral:rRNA from 1 species